AUGGAUUUGGUGAUGUGUCAUUGGUUUGUCAGACCUGUCAUUAUGAAGGAAAGGCUGCAGUGCAUCCUGGACAAAUCUAAGUGCGUAUUAUGGUCUUGUCUCAGCUUUUGGAAAUUCUCCUGUAAUGUUCAGGUAGUGACUUCUAACAGAGGUGCCAGUGUGAACUAUCCAUGUUUGUGCCUCCUAGAUAGGAUACUUGCCCUGAUAAUUCAUACAUUCAUUAUUAGUAGACAAAACAGUUGAAAUGUUGAAAUGUUGUGGUGGAGUCACCAUCCCUGGAGGUGUUCAAGAAACGUUUUGAUGUUGUACUGAGGGACAUGGUUUAGUGGGACAUGGUUUAGCGGGAAAUAUUGGUGAUAGGUGGAUGGUUGGACUGGAUGAUCUUAGAGGUCUUUUCCAUCCUUGGUGAUUCUAUGGUUCUGUGAUUCUGUAGAAUAGAAUGGACUCUAUAAUUCUAUAAAUUAGCUUCCUCUGGAGUAAAUCCUCUCUGCUCUUCUUUUUAGGGCAAAAUAAUGAAACUAUGACCUGCGAAUGGAGUGAAGCUUACUUUUGUGCAGCUCUGCCUUCAGCUGGAUGAAAUUCAACUGUUGGUUACCCUUUAGACAGAAAAAGUUUUCCACUGCUUGGAUUCUUCAUUGGUAUGCUGCUGAUUUGUAUCGAGUUUAGGUGAUGUUAAAAAGAUCACCUCAUUAUCACUGGGAAUUUUUCACCAGUGUAACAUUUUCUUUUGGUAGUGAGCUAUAAAAUCAUCAGGCUAUGGCCUGUUCUUUUUAUUCUGCUUUAACUAUUUGGUUUUAAAAAAGGGACUUUUAUCCCUUUUCUCAUAGAAUGAUAAUCUAAUGGUAAUUUACAGGUGAUGGACAUAUUAAAAAUGCAAAUGAUCCUUCUACUAUUAUGAAACUUUAAUUUUCUUGUGAAAGUGACAGAUGUCCUGGCUACUUAAAGCCUUCCAAGGACUGCAGAUAGGUUCCAAGAAUAAGGAUCCUAAUUAAAAGUCAGUGUGAUGAUGAAACUAAUUCUCUACAUUCAUCCCAUGUUUCAUGUAGGAAAUUUAGCUCUCAUUCGCUGCCAAAAAUUGUUGUAUAUUGUGGGUAAAAUUAAUGAUCUUCUGUUCUUCUGCAAUAAAAUGUGGCUAUGUGAGACA
rnacentral:lncRNA from 1 species